AAAUAUGUCUUUUUGAAUUUUAUUUAAAGUCUAACCUGCCCACUGAAUUAUAUUUUAAAUGGCCGCAGUAUUUUGACUGUGCAAAGGUAGCAUAAUCAUUAGUCUUUUAAUUGAAGGCUGGUAUGAAUGGUUGGACGAGGUAUAAGCUGUUUCAUAUAAAUUUAUUAUAAAAUUUUAUAUUUUAGUUAAAAAGCUAAAAUUUUAUUAAAAGACGAGAAGACCCUAUAAAUCUUUAUACUUAAUUUUGUUUGAAUUUUUUGGAUUUGUUAAAUUUUUAUAAUAUUAAGUAUUUUGUUGGGGUGAUGUUAAAAUUUAAUAAACUUUUAAUUUUUAAAAUCAUUAAUUUAUGAUUUAUUGAUCCAUUAAUAUUGAUUAUAAGAUUAAGUUACUUUAGGGAUAACAGCGUAAUUUUUUUUGAGAGUUCUUAUCGACAAAAAAGUUUGCGACCUCGAUGUUGGAUUAAGGUAUAAUUUUGGGUGUAGCUGUUCAAAUAUUAAGUCUGUUCGACUUUUGAAUCCUUACAUGAUC
rnacentral:rRNA from 1 species